AGUCUAGCAUGUGCGCGAGUCAUUGGGACUAAAUAAACCUAAAGGCGUAAUGAAAGUGAAAGUCUGUUUACGCGGACUUAGGGAGGAUAGGUACUGUACACGUUCGCGUGUACAUCCUCGCACUCCCGGGGCGUCUCGCACUCAUUGCGAGGUGGGGCGCACCAAGAGCGUACACGCUGGGACCCGAAAGAUGGUGAACUAUGCCUGGUCAGGACGAAGUCAGGGGAAACCCUGAUGGAGGUCCGUAGCGAUUCUGACGUGCAAAUCGAUCGUCGGAACUGGGCUUAGGGGCGAAAGACUAAUCGAACCAUCUAGUAGCUGGUUCCCACCGAAGUUUCCCUCAGGAUAGCUGGCACUAGAUUAUGGAUGAGUCUCAUCCGGUAAAGCGAAUGAUUAGAGGCAUUGGGGUCGAAACGGCCUCAACCUAUUCUCAAACUUUAAAUGGGUGAGAUCUCCGGCUUGCUCGAUUUAUGAAGCCGGAGAUCGGAUCAAUUAGUGCCAAGUGGGCCACUUUUGGUAAGCAGAACUGGCGCUGUGGGAUGAACCAAACGCAGAGUUAAAGCGCCAAAAACGACGCUUAUGGGAUACCAUGAAAGGCGUUGGUAACUUAAGACAGCA
rnacentral:rRNA from 1 species